rnacentral:rRNA from 1 species
UACGUAGGUGACUAGCGUUGUCCGGAUUUAUUGGGUUUAAAGGGUGCGUAGGCGGCUUUGUAAGUCAGUGGUGAAAUAUGGCAGCUCAACUGUCAGGGUGCCAUUGAUACUGCGGAGCUUGAGUACAGAUGAGGUAGGCGGAAUUGACGGUGUAGCGGUGAAAUGCUUAGAUAUCGUCAAGAACACCGAUAGCGAAGGCAGCUUACUAGGCUGUAACUGACGCUGAGGCACGAAAGUGUGGGGAUCAAACAGG